UAAAGACAUAUAAAUAUCCCGAUAAAUAAUAUCUACUGAUAAAAAUUCAAAGAAUUUGGCGGUGUCUUAUAUACCCAGGGGAACCUGUUACUUAAUUCGAUAAUCCACGUCAUUCUUACCCUUUUUAGAAUUUUCAGCCUGUGUACUGCUGUCGUCAGUAAACCUUUAAAAGAAUAGUUUACAACAAUAAAUUAAAUUAUUAACGUCAAGUCAAAGUGCAGCUUAUAAAAGAUGGUGUACAAUGGGUUACAAUCUUAUAAAAAGAAAACGAAAAUCUUUAUUUAAAUACAGAUAGAAGGUGGACUUGAUAGUAAUAUUCAAAUCAUACUAAUAUGAACUAUUAAUCUAAGACAUGCACACAUCGCCCGUCGCUCUCACCCAAAAUG
rnacentral:rRNA from 1 species